AUUGAACGCUGGCGGCAUGCUUUACACAUGCAAGUCGAACGGCAGCGCGGGCUUCGGCCUGGCGGCGAGUGGCGAACGGGUGAGUAAUGCAUCGGAACGUGCCCAGUAGUGGGGGAUAGCCCGGCGAAAGCCGGAUUAAUACCGCAUACGACCUGAGGGUGAAAGCGGGGGACCGAAAGGCCUCGCGCUAUUGGAGCGGCCGAUGUCGGAUUAGCUAGUUGGCGGGGUAAAGGCUUACCAAGGCGACGAUCCGUAGCUGGUCUGAGAGGACGACCGGCCACACUGGGACUGAGACACGGCCCAGACUCCUACGGGAGGCAGCAGUGGGGAAUUUUGGACAAUGGGGGCAACCCUGAUCCAGCCAUGCCGCGUGCGGGAAGAAGGCCUUCGGGUUGUAAACCGCUUUUGUUCGGGAAGAAAUCCUCUGGGCUAAUACCCCGGGGGGAUGACGGUACCGGAAGAAUAAGCACCGGCUAACUACGUG
rnacentral:rRNA from 1 species